rnacentral:rRNA from 1 species
GAUGAACGCUGGCGGCGUGCCUAAUACAUGCAAGUCGAGCGAACAGACGAGGAGCUUGCUCCUUUGACGUUAGCGGCGGACGGGUGAGUAACACGUGGGUAACCUACCUAUAAGACUGGGAUAACUUCGGGAAACCGGAGCUAAUACCGGAUAAUAUUUCGAACCGCAUGGUUCGAUAGUGAAAGAUGGCUUUGCUAUCACUUAUAGAUGGACCUGCGCCGUAUUAGCUAGUUGGUAAGGUAACGGCUUGCCAAGGCAACGAUACGUAGCCGACCUGAGAGGGUGAUCGGCCACACUGGAACUGAGACACGGUCCAGACUCCUACGGGAGGCAGCAGUAGGGAAUCUUCCGCAAUGGGCGAAAGCCUGACGGAGCAACGCCGCGUGAGUGAUGAAGGUCUUCGGAUCGUAAAACUCUGUUAUUAGGGAAGAACAAACGUGUAAGUAACUGUGCACGUCUUGACGGUACCUAAUCAGAAAGCCACGGCUAACUACGUG